UACGAAGGGUGCAAGCGUUAAUCGGAAUUACUGGGCGUAAAGGGUGCGUAGGCGGUUGUUUAAGUCUGUCGUGAAAUCCCCGGGCUUAACCUGGGAACUGCGUUUGAAACUGGAAGGCUAGAGUAUGGCAGAGGGGGGUGGAAUUCCACGUGUAGCAGUGAAAUGCGUAGAGAUGUGGAGGAACACCGAUGGCGAAGGCAGCCCCCUGGGCUAACACUGACGCUCAUGCACGAAAGUGUGGGGAGCAAACAGG
rnacentral:rRNA from 1 species